UACGUAGGGGGCAAGCGUUAUCCGGAUUUACUGGGUGUAAAGGGUGCGUAGACGGCAGAGCAAGUCUGAAGUGAAAGCCCGCGGCCCAACUGCGGGACUGCUUUGGAAACUGCCCGGCUAGAGUGCUGGAGAGGUAAGCGGAAUUCCUAGUGUAGCGGUGAAAUGCGUAGAUAUUAGGAGGAACACCAGUGGCGAAGGCGGCUUACUGGACAGUAACUGACGUUGAGGCUCGAAAGCGUGGGGAGCAAACAGG
rnacentral:rRNA from 1 species